AUGGCUUCGAUGGCCGGCAGUGUGCGGACGUGGGUGUCGCGGCUCCGGCGACCAGCAGAGGGUGGGGCGCUGGGGUUGGGGAGGCCGGCAACAGGAGGGUUCAUUAGGGUAGGGGAGGGCAGCGGGAGGCGCGUUGGGCCGGGGGGUGGCUGUGGUGGGCGGCGUGCUGUGGCCCAGGGGCCAGCGGGUUCUGGAAGUCAGUCCCUUCGCCGGAACUCAAAGCGUGCUGCUAAUCGCCAGCCACGCCCAAAACGUAGUGUUGAGCAGGGAGAGGAAGUUGAGGCCAGCGGUGAAGGAGUUGAGGUGGCUGCCCGGGAAGAUGUGGAGCAACCAUCACAAGCUAGCAGGUUAAGGGCAUCACCAGGGCGGUUUGCGAAGUUCAACAGCUUGCUAUCCCCGCCACAAAAGUCUGAGCUAGUUUCAAGGUUGUUUGGGGGCCUCUUGAACUUAUUAGAUACACUUCCAGGGGACUUUAGUAAAUUCCUGGUGCAGUCCUACCAGCCAGAGACCUCUGAAAUGGUGUUCCCAGGCAAGGGAAGUGUCCAUGUCGAUGUUGAUAGUGUUCAAAGGGUAUUUGAUCUUCCUAACAGGGGUCAAAAAGCCAGAUAUAAAGUUGACAAGGAUACAACUAGGAGAUUCAGAGAGACUUUCAACAUACGUGGAGAUUCUCAUCCCCAGAUCAAUACAUGGACCAAGAUGAUUAAGGAUAUGGGGAUCCUGUACCUUGACGCGCUCGUUCAUGACAUCCCUGUAAGCAACUAUCCAAUACGAGCGACUGCAUGGGACAGUAACCUAAUUGCCAAGGUGAUCAAGAAGGACACGAUCUCUGCUGGUGUGUUCGGCAAAUUACAAAAAAAGGCAAAUAUUGCCAAAGUGGUCAAUGACUUGUGCAAGGUAGUAACUGAACAGGUUGGCACCUUCAUUGAAGAAGUUGCCAAGAUCGAUGAUGAGGAACCAGAUGUUGAUCCAUAUGUACAGCAGACAUCAACGGGAACCGCUCCGUCAUGUCGUGCUUCAAAAAGGAAGGGACAGGUUUCACCUAUACAAGAAGAAGAAGAGUUUGAUGAGGAGGAGACAGAAGAAGAUGAUAAAAUUGGAGUGCCACAAGAUGUUGAAGACGACGGGGAGACAGAUGAGGAUGAAUCAAAGGAGGAGAACAAAGAGGAUGAUGACAAAGAAGAAGAUGAUGAUGAGGAGGAGGAGGAGGAAGAGGAGGGGGAGGACAAUGAAGAAGAUGAGGAGGAGGAGGAGGAGGAGGAGGAGGAGGAGGAGGACAAAGAAAAAGAGGACAAAGGAGAGGAGGAGGGCAAGGAAGAAUAUAGUGAGGCAGAGGAGGAGGAACAAAAAAAUGAGGCCAAAGAAGGAGAUGGAGACAAAGCUGCAACAAUCGAUGGGAGUGAAGGGGAAGGAGAUGAUGAUGAAGAAGACGAGGAUGUCGAUCCUGAUGAUCAAGAGGAAUCCAAUGGAGGCAGUGACAGUUCCGAUGAUGAUGAUGACAAUGCCCCUGGUUCUGGUGGUAUAGGCGGCAACACAACCAGGGUGAGUAGCAGAUCUGCCAACCCUGCCAACAGCAACAACUCGAUGAGCAGCAGGAGCACACUAAAGAUGUUGAUUGACAAAACUUGCUGGAAAUACAAGAAUCUGCCAAAGUCAAAGAAAAAUGAUGAAGCAGAGUCUCAGGGAAGCAUUGACAUGUUCAAGUUGUGCAACAUGAAGCCAGCUUUGCCAACCACUUUCCCUGUGCCAGAUUUCCAUGAUCGAGAGUUGUGUGACAAGAUUGAUUUUGCUGUUGACCAGAAUUUGUUCUUCUUGGGUGAGGCUGAAAAGAAUCCAGUUGACAUGGAGGAAGCAGGGAAGGAUCUUGAUUGGGUUCAUUCGAAGGAGAAAUACAAGGAAUAUUUGAAGCAGCUUCCAGAUAUCAUCUCUAGCAAGAGCAAGGCAGCCCCAGUGGCAAACCCUCAUGUGGUCCAGAAGAGCAAAGGAGUUACAACGAAGAAGAAUCUGAAGUUGCCUCAAACCAAGCAACAGAUGCCGAGGGCAGAUGCAGAAAUAAAUGUGGACAAGGAAGCUGUGGUCCAAACUGUUAUGCCAACUGUAGUGAUCAGAGAGCCAACCACCACUCAAGAUGUGUCAGCAAUACCUGUUGAGCCUACAACCAUCACAGGAGUUCAACAGAACAAGAGGAAGAUUCCUCUGUCAAUAGUCCCACCUAAACCAGCUAAGCAGCAAAAUAUUGUCAAGUUUGCCAAGGGCACAAAGGAGGAACAGGGCAGAAAAUGUGUGGGGUCCAAACACAAGACAGAAAAAUGUGCCACAACCAACAAUGCAGGACUGCCAAGUUCUGCUAGUUUGGUGCCAACUCAGGCUGAAAGGUGCCAACUGCAGAUACCAGUGUACCAACUGAAGUGGUCACAGUCAAAACUAGCAAGUUGCUCAAGAAUACUCAACUGCAACCGCAAGCCCCAAGCAGCACAAAUAGGGGAAGCAAACGUGGUUGUCAUAGUUGAGGAUGAGUUGGAACCAACAACAGCGAAUGAAGGAUGCAUUGCUGCUGAUGCUGGCAAGGGAUUAGGUCACCAGCCAGAUAUUGGAUCACCAGACAGCUGCCACACCCCGAUAUGCGGAGAACCAGCAGUUGGCACAAGCAAUUCUUCAGGACCACCUGUUGCACAAAGACAGAGGACGAUAAUAAGGCCCGGAGCAUCUCAAAGGUCUCCAUUCAUUGAUUACAACAAAAAGAAGACCUUCAACUGCAAUGAGGCAGUCAACAAGAUUUACGCUGCCAUUGUGUAUUGGGAGUUAGUUGAUUCGAUGAAGGCAAAGCAGUGGCUUUCAAAAAUUGUUAUUGAGACUAGAAUCAUACACAUCAUGGAUAACUUACCAGAAGGGUCAAAGAAAGUUAUCAUGCCACUGAAGUUUUCUAUCAAUUUACAACAGGGGAUCUACAAUGUGAAUGAGAUAAACAAGAAGUUUGAAUACAAGAACCAUCUCGACAAGAAAGAUUUGGUCAUGCUGCCAGUGCUUCAGUGCGAUCAUGUAAACAACCGCGAAGGAGGCAUGCAUUAUUGGGUCUUCAACAUCAACCUGAGGGACAGACAUUUCGAAGUCCUUGAUUCAAACAGGAAGCUAGAAGACAUUGAGUUGAUGAACACCUCCUCUACGAUUGCGGGGCAGUACGCCAGCUAUGGAGGAAGAAUUACCCAAAGCAGAGCAUCAAGCACUUCCAUAUUAUUGACAUCGACGUAUCGAAGCAGCUUGGCAAGCAGUUGCGCAGUUGAACAUCAGUAG
rnacentral:rRNA from 1 species